GGAGGGGUGGCAGAGUGGACGAAUGCGACGGUCUUGAAAACCGUUAUGCCCGCAAGGGUAUCAAGGGUUCGAAUCCCUUCCCCUCCG
rnacentral:tRNA from 1 species